rnacentral:rRNA from 1 species
AUUGAACGCUGGCGGCAGGCCUAACACAUGCAAGUCGAGCGGAUGAAGGGAGCUUGCUCCUGGAUUCAGCGGCGGACGGGUGAGUAAUGCCUAGGAAUCUGCCUGGUAGUGGGGGAUAACGUCCGGAAACGGGCGCUAAUACCGCAUACGUCCUGAGGGAGAAAGUGGGGGAUCUUCGGACCUCACGCUAUCAGAUGAGCCUAGGUCGGAUUAGUUAGUUGGUGGGGUAAAGGCCUACCAAGGCGACGAUCCGUAACUGGUCUGAGAGGAUGAUCAGUCACACUGGAACUGAGACACGGUCCAGACUCCUACGGGAGGCAGCAGUGGGGAAUAUUGGACAAUGGGCGAAAGCCUGAUCCAGCCAUGCCGCGUGUGUGAAGAAGGUCUUCGGAUUGUAAAGCACUUUAAGUUGGGAGGAAGGGCAGUAAGUUAAUACCUUGCUGUUUUGACGUUACCAACAGAAUAAGCACCGGCUAACUUCGUG